rnacentral:rRNA from 1 species
UACGUAGGGGGCAAGCGUUGUCCGGAUUCAUUGGGCGUAAAGAGCUCGUAGGCGGCUUGGCAAGUCGGGUGUGAAACCUCCAGGCUCAACCUGGAGACGCCACCCGAUACUGCCAUGGCUAGAGUCCGGUAGGGGACCACGGAAUUCCUGGUGUAGCGGUGGAAUGCGCAGAUAUCAGGAGGAACACCAGUGGCGAAGGCAGGCUCGUGG